UACGGAGGGUGCAAACGUUGCUCGGAAUCAUUGGGCGUAAAGCGCACGUAGGCGGCCUGAUAAGUCGGAUGUGAAAGCCCUGGGCUCAACCCAGGAAGUGCAUUCGAAACUGCCAGGCUUGAAUAUGGAAGAGGGUCGCGGAAUUCCCGGUGUAGAGGUGAAAUUCGUAGAUAUCGGGAGGAACACCAGUGGCGAAGGCGGCGACCUGGGCCAAUAUUGACGCUGAGGUGCGAAAGCGUGGGGAGCAAACAGG
rnacentral:rRNA from 1 species